AAAAAUAAAAAUAAAAAAAACAAAGUCAAAUUCUCACGCUUGAUUCUUGAAAGCUGAAAAGUAAAAACCUUAGAUCGUGUUUCAGCGAUUUCUUCUUUGAUCUAUGUCGCCGUUGUCUUCAGCUUGUUCUUCGUCAUCUUAUCAGUUCACAUAUACAGCUCACUCUACUAUUCCGCAUACCAAGCUCCAUAACCAUACGCCACUCCUUCACCUUAUCUUCCGGCGCCGGUAGAGACCAUUACUGGAGUUGCAGUCUAUCCUCAACCUGUUAAACUGAUUUAUGUUGUAUACGCUUACCCUCAAUACAAACAGUUUCCUCACUCUCAUGGAGUUCUUCAAUGAGAUACUGUGAAAUUCUUGUGAACUCAGUUUGUAUAUUCUAUAUUGCUUCCAUGGGUGGAGUUUCUUGACCUGAUGUGCCAACUUGUUAAGGUUUGGGAAAAGGACAGUGUUUGGAUACACAUAUAAGAUAGGUAAGAUCCGAAUGAGAUUAUCUCCUAACUGAUAGGGUCCGCGUCAUUUUGACACUUUAGAUUACUCAUUUGCCCUUAAUUUUUUUUUUGUCUCUUCUUCCUUUCUUUGAGCAUAGGGGCAAUAUAUAGAAUUUUUGUAAAUUUUUUUUUUCUGCUUUUUAAUCUCCAAUUAAUAGUAUAGAUUUCAUUCUACUAAAAAUUUUCAUUUUAAUUAAUGUUUAUUAGAAUGAAAUCUCCCCUUAUUAGAAGA